ACGUAGGAGGCGAGCGUUAUCCGGAUUUAUUGGGCGUAAAGCGCGCGCAGGCGGCGUCUCAAGUCGGAUGUGAAAUCUCCUGGCUUAACUGGGAGACUGCGUUCGAAACUAGGGCGCUUGAGGUCAGUAGGGGGGAGUGGAAUUCCCGGUGUAGUGGUAAAAUGCGUAGAUAUCGGGAGGAACACCAGUGGCGAAGGCGGCUCCCUGGACUGCACCUGACGCUGAGGCGCGAAAGCGUGGGGAGCGAACGGGAUUAGAUACCCCGGUAGUCCACGCUGUAAACGAUGGAUGCUAGGUGUUGGUGGUAUUGACCCCAUCAGUGCCGAAGCUAACGCGUUAAGCAUCCCGCCUGGGGACUACGGCCGCAAGGUUA
rnacentral:rRNA from 1 species